GCGCGAGAUUCCCAUGCGCGCAAGCGUGAGGGAGCCAGCCAGAGUGCCUUACCAUUGGUAAGGCUUUUUGAGAGUGUAAAUAGCUCUCAGAAUAAGGGGCGGGCAAUACCGGUGCCAGCAGCCGCGGUAAUCCCGGAGCCCCGAGUGGUGGUCAUAUUUAUUGGGCCUAAAGCGUUCGUAGCCGGACUAAAAAGUCCCUGGUGAAAUCCUUCCUCUUAAGGGAAGGGCGUGCUGGGGAUACUAUUAGUCUAGGGACCGGAAGGGGGCGAAGGUAUUCCGGGGGUAGGGGUUAAAUCCUAUAAUCCCCGGAGGACCACCGGUGGCGAAGGCUGCUGACUAGAACACGUCUGACGGUCAGGGACGAAAGCUGGGGUAGCGAACCGGAUUAGAUACCCGGGUAGUCCCAGCCGUAAACGAUGCAUGCUAGGUGUUGGGUUGGCCACGAGCCACCCCAGUGCCGCAGGGAAGCCGUUAAGCAUGCCGCCUGGGAAGUACGAUCGCAAGACUGAAACUUAAAGGAAUUGGCGGGGGAGCAC
rnacentral:rRNA from 1 species